rnacentral:rRNA from 1 species
UACGGAGGAUCCGAGCGUUAUCCGGAUUUAUUGGGUUUAAAGGGAGCGUAGGUGGAUUAUUAAGUCAGUUGUGAAAGUUUGCGGCUCAACCGUAAAAUUGCAGUUGAAACUGGCAGUCUUGAGUACAGUAGAGGUGGGCGGAAUUCGUGGUGUAGCGGUGAAAUGCUUAGAUAUCACGAAGAACUCCGAUUGCGAAGGCAGCUCACUGGACUGCAACUGACACUGAGGCUCGAAAGUGUGGGUAUCAAACAGG